CUUCUUUCUUUCUUUCUUUUUUUUUUUUUUUUUUUUGAGAGAGAGAGAGAGAGAGAGAGAGAGAGAAUUUUUUUAAUAUUUAUUUUUAGUUCUCGGUGGACACAGCAUCUUUAUUUGUAUGUGAUGCUGAGGAUCCAACCCAGGCCGCACGCAUACCAGGCGAGCGCGCUACCACUUGAGCCACAUCCCCAGCCCAGGGCCUUUUCUUUCUUAAAGGACCACUUCUUAUUAGCAUUUAAACAUGGGGGUCUCUUCUACAUUUAAGGAAACAAACUAUAUUUCAUUCUAAUUCGGUUCAGUUAGCACUUUUUUCUCCCUCCUAGGCAAGCUUCAGCCCCCCAAGGUCAUUGAGGGCUGGCUUCCAAGCCCUCAAAUCCAUGGGGCCACUUCCUUGGUCUCAUUGUUCUCAACCUGCUCAUCAAUAACUCCUGGAUCUCAUGCCUGAGAUCCAGACCUGAGCAUCCAUCUGCUUCCUGGACGCACUCCCACCCCCUGGGAGUCCCACAGAUGCCUGAGCUUCAAUAUAUCCUUAUGUGACCUUGUCUUUUCUCUCAGUUCUCCUCCUUCUUAGAGGAAUGGUGCCUACCCAAUACAGGGGCCACCAUACCCCAGUCCCAGCCCCUGCCCUCCCUACUAUCCUCAGAUAAAUGUUGAAAGACCAGGGGGUAUAGCUUAGUGGUAAAACACAUGCUUAGCAUGAAUGAGACCCUGGGUUUGAUUCUCAACACAACCACAUGGCACACAUGCACACACACAAAAAAACAUUGGAAAGUAGCUUAGGUGGUCCUUUCAGAUGUGGGUUCAGCUGACUUCUUGGCUUAAACUUAUACUUUUCCCCCUCACAGUGAACUGUACCCAGGAUCCCCACUGCUCACCCUCUAGUCUCAGAACAUCUACCUGUAAAGUUCUCUUUCCAUGGAAUGUUCUCUCCCCCACUUCCCUUGCCUAAUUCCUACUGGACCCUCAUGGUUAGUCCAGCCAUUACCACUUCUGCAGAGACUCCAGAUAUGCCUGCAGCAGUACCAGCUGUCCCUUAAUACUUUGUUAUCUUAAUUCUCUGUGAUUUCUUCUCUUCCCAUAACUCAGAUCACAGUAUAAUUUUGCCUGCUGGCCAACAAAGACAAUAUUUCUGGCUCCCUAAAACAGAUACCUGCAGCUGGGCCUUGAGUCGGGACUCCACCUUGUCAUAUUUGGGUGACCGCCACAGUGCCUUCAGGGGCCUGAGCUGGCCCUGCUCCCUGCUGUGCUCUUGCUCUCGGAAGCGCUUCUGUAUCUCUCUGAUCCGCCUCAGAUUUUCCUUCUCAUGGUCUUUAGGGUCCUUCCCUGGAGAAAAUAUGCUGCCAUGCUCUGCUCUAUGUAUGGCCCAUGCAACCCAACUUAAACUAGAUCUCAGUAUAGGCCCAUACCCUGCCUCCUGCACAAAGAUAUCCCUGGCUCUCCUGUCUGGGUUAGACCCCACACACAUAUUCCAUCGCAUCAACUUAUGCCUUUCCUUCCUAACAUAGUACAUUAUCUCUUUGUUAUUUUUUACAUUUUUAACUUGUUAUUGUUUUGUGACAUCAAACCUGAGGUCUCGUACAUGCUAGGCAAACACUCUACUACUGAGCUACAUCUCCACCCCAGUUUUUUACAUUUUUAUAGUGAAGUAUACCAUUAAUCAUCUCGCAUAUUACACUUAUCUCUUGUUUAUUGCCUCCCACCUUAACUUUAUGAUGACCCACACUUGUCCUUGAUUUUGUUUUCCUAGUAUCUAUAUGAAUCCUGUUUAAAAGUGUUCCAUUGAUGCAUGAAUGCAUGAAGCUAGGACUUCCUGGGACUAUCUCAUUCAGUCCACUCCUGCGAGGAGUGCUCAAUGAUGGGAGACCAGUGCCCAGUGCCAGCUUAUGAGGCCUGCAGUACCCAGGGUGAAGACGUGUGUCCAAGAGGACACUGCAGAGAGCCAGAGCUCCAGGAGGAGGGGAUCAAGCUGGAGGAAGAAGUGCUUGAGGCAGAGGCAGGAGACAAGAGAGGCCCCAGGCUUGGGGCCUCCAUCGUGGGGCCCAGUCAUGGACUGAAGAGGAAACCGAUCAAGUGAGGAGGUUUUUCAGAGGGAAGGAACUGCAGGGAUGGGGUUGAGCCUCAAACUUACCCCUGGAGAAUUCCUAAAUCCUGUAUGUCUGUGGGGCAGAUUCUUGUCCCCUGCCACUAUCAUCACUCUGCCUAUUCUGUUCCUCAAGAGCUCUGGCAUAGGGAGCACCAGCACCAGGAGAGAUGGAACCUCCAUGUCUUGAAGGGGAAUGAGGUCACAUAAGUGCUGGGACCCUAUUGGGCCUGGGAUUUCAUUGACCAAGAAAGGGAUAGCUUUAUAGUCCUGGGUUGGUGGGAUAGGCAGGGCUAGUCCCUAGGCUCAAGGCAAAGGAGCCAGAGGCUGAAGGCUGCCUCUCAGGCCUCUUGUCCCCAACUUUAGUCUCCCAGCCUCCCAGGACCUAGCUACCAUGCCCAUCCUAGGACUGAAGCUGAGCUGUCACCAGGGAUGCUGCUGCAGAGAGAGGAGCUGGAGGGCUGUCAGAAUGAACCCUCACCAUCUGCCAAACAGCACAGAAAAGCCAAGAAACGCAAAAGUCUGGGGGCUCCCAUGCUUCCAGCUAUAGCCAGCACUGUGUCUGCACCCCCAGAGACCCUGGGGCUGGAGCGUGAGUGGCAGUCCUUGGGCUUUCCCUUCUUUCCCUGCUUGCUGGAGCUGUCAUUGCACAGCCUGGCGCUCCAGCCCCUGUCCUGCCCCGGGUCCUUGCAGGAAAAGCUCAGCGCCUCCGGCCAUUGUACCAGUAUAUCAACUAUUGCAACCCUGAGC